rnacentral:rRNA from 1 species
AUGGCCGGCAAGGACGUCGUGCCGACGGCGACCACCCAGCGGAAGAGCGUGGCGAGGCGGCUGUGGCGCGUGGUGCGCGCCGUGCUCUACAUGCUGCGGCGCGGGGUGCUCCCGUCCGGGCGCAAGCUGGCCAUGGACCUCGGCCUCCUCCUCCGCCGCGGCAAGAAAGCCGGCAAGGCCCUCGGCGGCCUUUCCUCGGCGAGGUCGUCGUCCUUCUCGUGCCGCGCGCUCGACCCGGCCCUCGCGGUGCACGAGCCCUCGCGCAGCCGCCGCGAGGUCGAGUUCAGCUGCAGCAACACCCCUUUCUCCGCCGCCGCCACGAGCCGCGGCCCCCGCGGCGACGAGGGCCCCGGGUGCUACUACAGCUACGACGCGGCCGACAUCGCCAGGGUGUUCGAGAUGCUCAACGAGGGCGGCCACCCCUUCGACGACGACGCGCUCGUGGUGGCGCCGGCCACCGCGACGCCGUCGCCCGCGCUGUGGACUUCAUCCUCCUCCGGGGCCGGGCGAAACCCGGGGGCUAGGCGGCUCCGCAUCGCCGACUCGCCGUACUCGGCGCCGGGCAACGAAACGCCGGGCGAGCAGCAGGUGGACAGGAAGGCCGACGAGUUCAUCAGGAGGUUCUACGAGCAGCUGCGCGCCCAGAAGAGCGUCGCCGCCACGCCGGAGAACGACGGUCACGCCGCCGGCUCGUACACCGGCCGUUCCCCACGUCCGGUCGCCGCCGGCACCGUUUAG